rnacentral:rRNA from 1 species
AUUGAACGCUGGCGGCAUGCUUUACACAUGCAAGUCGAACGGCAGCACGGACUUCGGUCUGGUGGCGAGUGGCGAACGGGUGAGUAAUACAUCGGAACGUACCCAGUAAUGGGGGAUAACUAUCCGAAAGGAUAGCUAAUACCGCAUACGCCCUACGGGGGAAAGAGGGGGAUCGCAAGACCUCUUGUUAUUGGAGCGGCCGAUGGCUGAUUAGCUAGUUGGUAGGGUAAAGGCCUACCAAGGCAACGAUCAGUAGCGGGUCUUAGAGGACGAUCCGCCACACUGGAACUGGGACACGGUCCAGACUCCUACGGGAGGCAGCAGUGGGGAAUCUUGGACAAUGGGCGCAAGCCUGAUCCAGCAAUGCCGCGUGCGUGAAGAAGGCCUUCGGGUUGUAAAGCGCUUUUGUCAGGGAGCAAAUCCUUGUGGCUAAUACCCACCGGGGAUGAGAGUACCUGAAGAAUAAGGACCGGCUAACUACGUGCCAGCAGCCGCAGUAAAAC